rnacentral:rRNA from 1 species
GGUUAAGCGACUAAGCGUACACGGUGGAUGCCCUGGCAGUCAGAGGCGAUGAAGGACGUGCUAAUCUGCGAUAAGCGUCGGUAAGGUGAUAUGAACCGUUAUAACCGGCGAUUUCCGAAUGGGGAAACCCAGUGUGUUUCGACACACUAUCAUUAACUGAAUCCAUAGGUUAAUGAGGCGAACCGGGGGAACUGAAACAUCUAAGUACCCCGAGGAAAAGAAAUCAACCGAGAUUCCCCCAGUAGCGGCGAGCGAACGGGGAGCAGCCCAGAGCCUGAAUCAGUGUGUGUGUUAGUGGAAGCGUCUGGAAAGGCGCGCGAUACAGGGUGACAGCCCCGUACACAAAAAUGCACAUGCUGUGAGCUCGAUGAGUAGGGCGGGACACGUGGUAUCCUGUCUGAAUAUGGGGGGACCAUCCUCCAAGGCUAAAUACUCCUGACUGACCGAUAGUGAACCAGUACCGUGAGGGAAAGGCGAAAAGAACCCCGGCGAGGGGAGUGAAAAAGAACCUGAAACCGUGUACGUACAAGCAGUGGGAGCACGCUUAGGCGUGUGACUGCGUACCUUUUGUAUAAUGGGUCAGCGACUUAUAUUCUGUAGCAAGGUUAACCGAAUAGGGGAGCCGAAGGGAAACCGAGUCUUAACUGGGCGUUAAGUUGCAGGGUAUAGACCCGAAACCCGGUGAUCUAGCCAUGGGCAGGUUGAAGGUUGGGUAACACUAACUGGAGGACCGAACCGACUAAUGUUGAAAAAUUAGCGGAUGACUUGUGGCUGGGGGUGAAAGGCCAAUCAAACCGGGAGAUAGCUGGUUCUCCCCGAAAGCUAUUUAGGUAGCGCCUCGUGAAUUCAUCUCCGGGGGUAGAGCACUGUUUCGGCAAGGGGGUCAUCCCGACUUACCAACCCGAUGCAAACUGCGAAUACCGGAGAAUGUUAUCACGGGAGACACACGGCGGGUGCUAACGUCCGUCGUGAAGAGGGAAACAACCCAGACCGCCAGCUAAGGUCCCAAAGUCAUGGUUAAGUGGGAAACGAUGUGGGAAGGCCCAGACAGCCAGGAUGUUGGCUUAGAAGCAGCCAUCAUUUAAAGAAAGCGUAAUAGCUCACUGGUCGAGUCGGCCUGCGCGGAAGAUGUAACGGGGCUAAACCAUGCACCGAAGCUGCGGCAGCGACGCUUAUGCGUUGUUGGGUAGGGGAGCGUUCUGUAAGCCUGUGAAGGUGUGCUGUGAGGCAUGCUGGAGGUAUCAGAAGUGCGAAUGCUGACAUAAGUAACGAUAAAGCGGGUGAAAAGCCCGCUCGCCGGAAGACCAAGGGUUCCUGUCCAACGUUAAUCGGGGCAGGGUGAGUCGACCCCUAAGGCGAGGCCGAAAGGCGUAGUCGAUGGGAAACAGGUUAAUAUUCCUGUACUUGGUGUUACUGCGAAGGGGGGACGGAGAAGGCUAUGUUGGCCGGGCGACGGUUGUCCCGGUUUAAGCGUGUAGGCUGGUUUUCCAGGCAAAUCCGGAAAAUCAAGGCUGAGGCGUGAUGACGAGGCACUACGGUGCUGAAGCAACAAAUGCCCUGCUUCCAGGAAAAGCCUCUAAGCAUCAGGUAACAUCAAAUCGUACCCCAAACCGACACAGGUGGUCAGGUAGAGAAUACCAAGGCGCUUGAGAGAACUCGGGUGAAGGAACUAGGCAAAAUGGUGCCGUAACUUCGGGAGAAGGCACGCUGAUAUGUAGGUGAAGUCCCUUGCGGAUGGAGCUGAAAUCAGUCGAAGAUACCAGCUGGCUGCAACUGUUUAUUAAAAACACAGCACUGUGCAAACACGAAAGUGGACGUAUACGGUGUGACGCCUGCCCGGUGCCGGAAGGUUAAUUGAUGGGGUCAGCGCAAGCGAAGCUCUUGAUCGAAGCCCCGGUAAACGGCGGCCGUAACUAUAACGGUCCUAAGGUAGCGAAAUUCCUUGUCGGGUAAGUUCCGACCUGCACGAAUGGCGUAAUGAUGGCCAGGCUGUCUCCACCCGAGACUCAGUGAAAUUGAACUCGCUGUGAAGAUGCAGUGUACCCGCGGCAAGACGGAAAGACCCCGUGAACCUUUACUAUAGCUUGACACUGAACAUUGAGCCUUGAUGUGUAGGAUAGGUGGGAGGCUUUGAAGUGUGGACGCCAGUCUGCAUGGAGCCGACCUUGAAAUACCACCCUUUAAUGUUUGAUGUUCUAACGUUGACCCGUAAUCCGGGUUGCGGACAGUGUCUGGUGGGUAGUUUGACUGGGGCGGUCUCCUCCUAAAGAGUAACGGAGGAGCACGAAGGUUGGCUAAUCCUGGUCGGACAUCAGGAGGUUAGUGCAAUGGCAUAAGCCAGCUUGACUGCGAGCGUGACGGCGCGAGCAGGUGCGAAAGCAGGUCAUAGUGAUCCGGUGGUUCUGAAUGGAAGGGCCAUCGCUCAACGGAUAAAAGGUACUCCGGGGAUAACAGGCUGAUACCGCCCAAGAGUUCAUAUCGACGGCGGUGUUUGGCACCUCGAUGUCGGCUCAUCACAUCCUGGGGCUGAAGUAGGUCCCAAGGGUAUGGCUGUUCGCCAUUUAAAGUGGUACGCGAGCUGGGUUUAGAACGUCGUGAGACAGUUCGGUCCCUAUCUGCCGUGGGCGCUGGAGAACUGAGGGGGGCUGCUCCUAGUACGAGAGGACCGGAGUGGACGCAUCACUGGUGUUCGGGUUGUCAUGCCAAUGGCACUGCCCGGUAGCUAAAUGCGGAAGAGAUAAGUGCUGAAAGCAUCUAAGCACGAAACUUGCCCCGAGAUGAGUUCUCCCUGACUCUUUAAGGGUCCUGAAGGAACGUUGAAGACGACGACGUUGAUAGGCCGGGUGUGUAAGCGCAGCGAUGCGUUGAGCUAACCGGUACUAAUGAACCGUGAGGCUUAACCUU